rnacentral:rRNA from 1 species
UACGGAGGGUGCGAGCGUUGUCCGGAAUCACUGGGCGUAAAGGGCGCGUAGGUGGCGCGGCAAGUCAACGGUGAAAGCUCGACGCUCAACGUCGAGUCGGCCGUCGAUACUGCUGGGCUCGAGCACUGUAGAGGCAGAUGGAAUUCCGGGUGUAGCGGUGGAAUGCGUAGAGAUCCGGAAGAACACCGGUGGCGAAGGCAGUCUGCUGGGCAGUAGCUGACACUGAGGCGCGACAGCGUGGGGAGCAAACAGG